rnacentral:rRNA from 11 species
UGACGCAGAAGUGACACUCCCGCGUGCGGACGAAUGCACGUUGAAGGGUGUAGGCUAGAGAGUAGGCAAAUCCGCUCUCUGUGAAGGCUGAACCCCGACAGUACCCGGAUUCUCACGAUGAAGGGAUAGUGGAGGUAAUCAUGCUGCCAAGAAAAGCGUCGUAGUUUGUUUGUUAGGCUCGUACCCCAAACCGACACAGGUGG